UUGCUGGGAAAUGAGCAUCAAAGGAAGGGAGCAAUACAUUUUGAGCCAAGAGCUUUAAGUUAUUUUUAAAAUAGAAAAGAGAAACGAACAGGUUGCAGAAAAGCUCAUCAGACACACAAGGUAACAGAGCCUCAGGUGCAAAAUAACCAACAUCGAAAAUCACAUGGUAGAACCAGACUUAUGAAGACUUCAGACAUCAGAAUUAUCAGCCAUGGAAUUUAGGUAUGUUUAAAAAUUACUUAAGAACUAAAAGAUGUGAACAUAGGAGCAGAUUUGCAAAAGAACCAAACCAGUAUUCUGGAAAUAAAAAAUACAGUAGUCUGGCCCCCACCCCUGGCAUCUCCAAUUUCCCUUUCUGUGGUUUCAGCUACCUGUGGUCAACCAUGUCCGAAACUAUCACAUGCAAUAAGAUACUUUGAGAGAGACCACAUUCACAUAACUUUUAUUACUGUGUAUUGUUAUAAUUGUUUUCUCAUUAGUUAUUGUUAAU
rnacentral:lncRNA from 10 species